rnacentral:tRNA from 1 species
GAGGGCACAGCUCAGUGGUAGAGUGUGUGCUUAGCAUGCACAAGGUUCUGAGUUCAAUUCCCAAUAUCUCCA